UACGGAGGGGGCUAGCGUUGUUCGGAAUUACUGGGCGUAAAGCGCGCGUAGGCGGAUCUGCAAGUCGGGGGUGAAAUCCCGAGGCUCAACCUCGGAACUGCCUUCGAUACUGCGGGUCUCGAGUCCGGGAGAGGUGAGUGGAAUUCCUAGUGUAGAGGUGAAAUUCGUAGAUAUUAGGAAGAACACCAGUGGCGAAGGCGGCUCACUGGCCCCGGUACUGGACGCUGAGGCGGCGAAAAG
rnacentral:rRNA from 1 species